rnacentral:lncRNA from 1 species
AUGAACCCAUAACAUCAAAGUGCACGAAUUUGAAGAUUUAAACAAGUUGGAAAAACCGAAUUCUGUUAUUUUUCACCAAAUGUCAGAGGCUAUAAAUCUUUGGUCGAUCUCGAGUUUUGUUUUUUAAAAGUUGUUAUAGGUAGCCUGAUAUGUGGUCUUUAAUCUCCAAAAGGAAUAAAGUUCAUAGCUAUUGUAGAUCGGGAUUUAUAAGCGGUCAAAGUGGGUUGACCGGCAUUGACCGGCUGUUCUUCAAACCCAGAAAAUAUUCUAAGUGUCCAGAAAUAUUUUUUUGGCAAAUGUCAGGCCUUAUAUCUCGGUCAUAUUUAAUGUGUUUUGUGUUCUAAAGGUUGAUAUGUGUAUCUUGUUAUGUGUUAUGUAACCUCCAAAAAGAAUCAGGUCCAUAUAUAUUACGGAUUAAGAGUUAUUUAAGGUCAAAGUGGGUUGACCGGCAUUGACCAGAAAAUUCUAUGUGUUGUUUUUUUUGAUAAGGUUUGACCAUACUUUAGAUGCUUGAUUUAUUGUUUUUAUGAUGAUGUUAAGUGUUAUAGUUGUAGUCCUACAUGUUGUCUACGCACUGGAAUUGAUAGAUCACAUAAAAGUUACACGAUCAUCAAGUUAUAGAGGUCCAAAGUAGGCACCUCGAACUGUUCUUCGUGAAGAACAGCUUUGGUAGCUACUUUGAUGGCUGAUUUAUCCCAGAUCUGAUGUUUGUUUAGAGGUUAUGAUUGUUGGAUCUUGUAGUCUUUUAUUUCCUCUACAAGACCCAAUUUAUAGAUUGUCCAAAUUCGUUAAGAUGAGAGAGUUAUUCACGGUCAAAGUAGGCCACUCGGUUCUGCCUUAUGAAGAUCUGGGUAGGCUCAAGAACACCUAUAGCGACACUUCUGUCACUAUAGGGGGCCUUUAGCGACCGUUUUAAUUAUUUUAAUUUCUGAUUUUCCGAAAAAUGAUUUAAAAAUUAGAAAAAUUAGAUUUUAAUUAUUAAAAAUACCAAAUAAAUUAUGAAAAAUUAUUUUAAAG